CCAGAAUAUGCUCAUUGUAACAAAAUCCGUGCAUGCAGAUAUGGCGAGCUGCAUGUUAAUUAUUGGACGCCAAUAACCAAUAAUGCAACAAAAUUUAAUUGACAAAUAAUUUGGGGUACUAACUACAUGUUAAUUAUUUGGCGAUAAAUUACAUAGCGAAAUACCAUCCAUAACAGACCACAAAGAGAAACUGAGCCUUUCCUUCGAAGUAGAAAAUGAGACCUGUUCUUGCAUUGCUUCCUUUGCUCUUCCUUUUCGUGUUAUUCGCUGGUACUAUAGAAUCAAGAAAAGAUCAAGGAGAAUAUUGGAAAAUGAUCAUGAAAGAUCAAGAAAUUCCAGAAGGAAUUCAAGGCCUUCUUCAAUUGAAACCAGCAAAGAAUUCUGAACACAAAUGCGAUGAUGAUGACCAUGUUGAUACAAAGGGAAAUAAGAAGUACGUGGAGGAUUUGGAACCUAGGCCAAGUAUCACUGCAUAUAGUGAAGAAAUCGUGAAAACCUUUGAGCCAAGACCUAGUAUCACAACGGCUUUUGUACCCAAGUGGUAUAGUUUAUUUUGGAAAUUACAACUUUGGGGUACUUUUUUUUUUAUUUACCAAACUAGUAUAAAUCGCCACUGUCAGUGGCGAUUCUACUUGUUUUUUUAAUUUUUUUAAAGAAUCGCCAAUGCUAUUGGCGUUUUUGUUUUUGUUUUUUUCGUUUUUUUAAUAAAUCGCCAACCAUGUUGA